UACAGAGGUCUCAAGCGUUGUUCGGAUUCAUUGGGCGUAAAGAGCGUGUAGGCGGCCUGGUAGGUCUGCUGUGAAAACUCGAGGCUCAACCUCGAGAUGUCGGCGGAAACCAUCUGACUAGAGUCCGGAAGAGGCAAGUGGAAUUCCCGGUGUAGCGGUGAAAUGCGCAGAUAUCGGGAGGAACACCAAUUGCGAAGGCAGCUUGCUGGGACGGUACUGACGCUGAGGCGCGAAAGCGUGGGGAGCAAACAGG
rnacentral:rRNA from 1 species